rnacentral:rRNA from 1 species
UACGUAGGGGGCGAGCGUUGUCCGGAUUUAUUGGGCGUAAAGAGCGUGUAGGCGGCCUGACAGGUCUGCUGUGAAAACUCGAGGCUCAACCUCGAGAUGUCGGCGGAAACCGUCUGGCUAGAGUCCGGAAGAGGAGAGUGGAAUUCCUGGUGUAGCGGUGAAAUGCGCAGAUAUCAGGAAGAACACCCGUGGCGAAAGCGGCUCUCUGGAACGGUACUGACGCUGAGACGCGAAAGCGUGGGGAGCGAACAGG